UACGGGGGGGGCAAGCGUUGUUCGGAAUUACUGGGCGUAAAAGGGCUCGUAGGCGGCCAACUAAGUCAGACGUGAAAUCCCUCGGCUUAACCGGGGAACUGCGUCUGAUACUGGAUGGCUUGAGUUUGGGGAGAGGGAUGCGGAAUUCCAGGUGUAGCGGUGAAAAUGCGUAGAUAUCUGGAGGAACACCGGUGGCGAAGGCGGCAUCC
rnacentral:rRNA from 1 species